UUUCCUCAAAAGGUUUCGAUUAGAAAAGGAUGACAGGUGCAUCAUAUUGGAGUUACCAACGUGUGUGCUUUCUGAAAUCCUAAAUGAAGUGGUACUACAGGAAGGAGAUAAGGCAUACUUAAGAUUGGCUCUUGUGUGUACCACCUUCAGGGACACUGUGUCCACUGACUCCUUCAGGAGACGGGCACAUUUUCAGUGGCUUGACAGUGUCGCUACAUGGAGCAGGUUUUCUGAGUCCUAAAGAAAAUAAUUCUACACCAUGUACACCGUGGACACCUGUCGUGAAUGUGGAA